rnacentral:tRNA from 1 species
UGGGUUGUGGCUCAGUGGUAGAGCACUUGCUUAAUGUGCGAGGCCCUGGGUUUGAUUCUCAGCACCUCAU